rnacentral:miRNA from 1 species
AGGGUGACAAACUGCCUGGUUUGCCUGGGACUGAUGAGAUUCCUAGGACUGGGAGAGUUCCUGGCAAACUUUCAUUAAUUGGUCACCUUAG